rnacentral:rRNA from 1 species
GAUGAACGCUAGCUACAGGCUUAACACAUGCAAGUCGAGGGGAAACGACAUCAAAAGCUUGCUUUUGGUGGGCGUCGACCGGCGCACGGGUGAGUAACGCGUAUCCAACCUGCCCACCACUUGGGGAUAACCUUGCGAAAGUAAGACUAAUACCCAAUGACGUCUCUAGAAGACAUCUGAAAGGGAUUAAAGAUUUAUCGGUGAUGGAUGGGGAUGCGUCUGAUUAGCUUGUUGGCGGGGUAACGGCCCACCAAGGCAACGAUCAGUAGGGGUUCUGAGAGGAAGGUCCCCCACAUUGGAACUGAGACACGGUCCAAACUCCUACGGGAGGCAGCAGUGAGGAAUAUUGGUCAAUGGGCGAGAGCCUGAACCAGCCAAGUAGCGUGCAGGAAGACGGCCCUAUGGGUUGUAAACUGCUUUUAUAGGGGAAUAAAGUGAGCCACGUGUGGUUUUUUGCAUGUACCCUAUGAAUAAGGACCGGCUAAUUCCGUG